rnacentral:rRNA from 1 species
GAUGAACGCUGGCGGCGUGCCUAAUACAUGCAAGUCGAGCGAACGGACGAGAAGCUUGCUUCUCUGAUGUUAGCGGCGGACGGGUGAGUAACACGUGGAUAACCUACCUAUAAGACUGGGAUAACUUCGGGAAACCGGAGCUAAUACCGGAUAAUAUUUUGAACCGCAUGGUUCAAAAGUGAAAGACGGUCUUGCUGUCACUUAUAGAUGGAUCCGCGCUGCAUUAGCUAGUUGGUAAGGUAACGGCUUACCAAGGCAACGAUGCAUAGCCGACCUGAGAGGGUGAUCGGCCACACUGGAACUGAGACACGGUCCAGACUCCUACGGGAGGCAGCAGUAGGGAAUCUUCCGCAAUGGGCGAAAGCCUGACGGAGCAACGCCGCGUGAGUGAUGAAGGUCUUCGGAUCGUAAAACUCUGUUAUUAGGGAAGAACAUAUGUGUAAGUAACUGUGCACAUCUUGACGGUACCUAAUCAGAAAGCCACGGCUAACUACGUGCCAGCAGCCGCGGUAAUACGUAUGUGGCAAGCGUUAUCCGGAAUUAUUGGGCGUAAAGCGCGCGUAGGCGGUUUUUUAAGUCUGAUGUGAAAGCCCACGGCUCAACCGUGGAGGGUCAUUGGAAACUGGAAAACUUGAGUGCAGAAGAGGAAAGUGGAAUUCCAUGUGUAGCGGUGAAAUGCGCAGAGAUAUGGAGGAACACCAGUGGCGAAGGCGACUUUCUGGUCUGUAACUGACGCUGAUGUGCGAAAGCGUGGGGAUCAAACAGGAUUAGAUACCCUGGUAGUCCACGCCGUAAACGAUGAGUGCUAAGUGUUAGGGGGUUUCCGCCCCUUAGUGCUGCAGCUAACGCAUUAAGCACUCCGCCUGGGGAGUACGACCGCAAGGUUGAAACUCAAAGGAAUUGACGGGGACCCGCACAAGCGGUGGAGCAUGUGGUUUAAUUCGAAGCAACGCGAAGAACCUUACCAAAUCUUGACAUCCUUUGACAACUCUAGAGAUAGAGCCUUCCCCUUCGGGGGACAAAGUGACAGGUGGUGCAUGGUUGUCGUCAGCUCGUGUCGUGAGAUGUUGGGUUAAGUCCCGCAACGAGCGCAACCCUUAAGCUUAGUUGCCAUCAUUAAGUUGGGCACUCUAAGUUGACUGCCGGUGACAAACCGGAGGAGGGUGGGGAUGACGUCAAAUCAUCAUGCCCCUUAUGAUUUGGGCUACACACGUGCUACAAUGGACAAUACAAAGGGCAGCGAAACCGCGAGGUCAAGCAAAUCCCAUAAAGUUGUUCUCAGUUCGGAUUGUAGUCUGCAACUCGACUACAUGAAGCUGGAAUCGCUAGUAAUCGUAGAUCAGCAUGCUACGGUGAAUACAAACGCGGGUCU